UUUGAGUUCCUGUCCUGACUUCCUUCAGUGAUGAACAGCAAUGCUGAAGUGACUCUGUUGAAAUUAGUUUGACUCUUUGUUGAAAUUAGUUUGGCUAUGGAACCUUCUAACUGAGAUCCUUCCUGUCCUACGAGAACUCCAAAGAUCUAGGGCAGGAGAAUGUUAAAUGGGGAGAGUGGGCAGAAAAAUGAUCGAGAGCAGAAGAUGAUGAAGGAGAUGAACAAAAACUAAAAAUAUAUGAAAAAGUCAGAAAGAAACUUGAUGAUGGUGUUUGGAUAUGUGAAAUACGAACAAGUUAUUAAGACCAUAGAAGAGAAGCUGGAGAGAUGAAUCAGUGUUUAAGUGCUCUUACUGCUUUUGAAGAGGACCCUGGGUUUGUUCCCAGCACCCACAUCAGGCAGCUCAUGAUUUCCUAUAACUCCAGUUCCAGGGGAUCCAUUGCCCUCUUUGGCCUUCACCGGCAUUUACAUGUACAUGCUUCACAUAGCAUAUAAACUCAACACAGCCACACGUACAUGCCUAUAAACUAAAACAACAACACGAUUAAAAAAAAAACCAAGUCUUUAUGACCAUAGAAGAAAAAGAACAUAUCUCAUGGGAACACUGUGCUUGCUCAAGUAACUUUCUUGUGACCCCUCCCUGAUUGCUGCUGGGCUGAAAUACCUAGAGAUAUGUGAUUGCUGUGGGGUUUCACUGGUUUAUCAGUCUGAGUCAGAUAUUGUGCAGUUACUCACACAACAGGCACCAGUGAGUCAGAAGCAUAAGAAAUAAUGGAGAACAUGCUAAUGAGGAACUAAACAUUACACUUGUUCUGCAUAUGCGCCUCAAGAGAUGUUCCAUGAGAUCCAACGUCGUAUCCUCCUGGUCCAAAUUCUUUACAGCAUGUGAAAAUACAUAAAUUAGACAGGAGCUAUAUAGCGAUGUUCCUCACCAGUCUGCCUUUUACUUAUUGGGUCUGGCUGGGCUUCUUCAUGCUAUCAGCAGAACCUGAUUAAUCAUGAAAUCAAUAAAUCACUCUGCUGGUCAUCCA